rnacentral:rRNA from 1 species
UGGGGAAUAUUGGACAAUGGGCGAAAGCCUGAUCCAGCCAUGCCGCGUGUGUGAAGAAGGCCUUUUGGUUGUAAAGCACUUUAAGCGAGGAGGAGGCUACUUGGAUUAAUACUCUAGGAUAGUGGACGUUACUCGCAGAAUAAGCACCGGCUAACUCUGUGCCAGCAGCCGCGGUAAUACAGAGGGUGCGAGCGUUAAUCGUAUUUACUGGGCGUAAAGCGUGCGUAGGCGGCUUCUUAAGUCGGAUGUGAAAUCCCUGAGCUUAACUUAGGAAUUGCAUUCGAUACUGGGAAGCUAGAGUAUGGGAGAGGAGGGUAGAAUUCCAGGUGUAGCGGUGAAAUGCGUAGAGAUCUGGAGGAAUACCGAUGGCGAAGGCAGCCAUCUGGCCUAAUACUGACGCUGAGGUACGAAAGCAUGGGGAGCAAACAGG